UACGUAGGGUGCGAGCGUUGUCCGGAAUUAUUGGGCGUAAAGAGCUUGUAGGCGGUUUGUCGCGUCUGCUGUGAAAAUCCGGGGCGUCAACCCCGGACUUGCAGUGGGUACGGGCAGACUAGAGUGUGGUAGGGGAGACUGGAAUUCCUGGUGUAGCGGUGAAAUGCGCAGAGUAUCAGGAGGAACACCGAUGGCGAAGGCAGGUCUCUGGGCCACUACUGACGCUGAGAAGCGAAAGCAUGGGGAGCGAACAGG
rnacentral:rRNA from 1 species